GAGCCACGCAGUAAGCACAUAGCGAACUAUUCUUUCGCCUUUUACUAAAGAAUACCGUGUGCUUGUUGCUUUGAGUUGGCAUACAGUAAUUUUUGGAAGGGGUCUUCUCUUGUUAGGGUU
rfam:Ricinus communis cultivar Hale ctg_1100012355111, whole genome shotgun sequence.